rnacentral:rRNA from 1 species
AAUAUUGCGCAAUGGAGGGAACACUGACGCAGCGACGCCGCGUGAGCGAUGAAGGUUUUCGGAUCGUAAAGCUCUGUCCUUGGGGAAGAAGGCGGCCACUUUUGGCCACUUGACGGUACCCAAGGAGGAAGCCCCGGCUAACUACGUGCCAGCAGCCGCGGUAAUACGUAGGUGGCAAGCGUUGUCCGGAUUUAUUGGGCGUAAAGCGCGCGCAGGCGGUCUUUUAAGUCUGAUGUGAAAUCUUACAGCUUAACUGUAAGCGGUCAUUGGAAACUGGGAGACUUGAGUGCAGAAGAGGAGAGUGGAAUUCCAUGUGUAGCGGUGAAAUGCGUAGAGAUAUGGAGGAACACCAGUGGCGAAGGCGACUCUCUGGUCUGUAACUGACGCUGAGGCGCGAAAGCGUGGGGAUCAAACA